rnacentral:rRNA from 1 species
CCCUGGCAGUCAGAGGCGAUGAAGGGCGUACUAAUCUGCGAUAAGCGCCGGUAAGGUGAUAUGAACCGUUAUAACCGGCGAUACCCGAAUGGGGAAACCCAGUGUGACUCGUCACACUAUCAUUAACUGAAUCCAUAGGUUAAUGAGGCGAACCGGGGGAACUGAAACAUCUAAGUACCCCGAGGAAAAGAAAUCAACCGAGAUUCCCCCAGUAGCGGCGAGCGAACGGGGAGGAGCCCAGAGCCUGAAUCAGCAUGUGUGUUAGUGGAAGCGUCUGGAAAGGCGCGCGAUACAGGGUGACAGCCCCGUACACAAAAGCGCAUGUGCUGUGAGCUCGAUGAGUAGGGCGGGACACGUGGUAUCCUGUCUGAAUAUGGGGGGACCAUCCUCCAAGGCUAAAUACUCCUGACUGACCGAUAGUGAACCAGUACCGUGAGGGAAAGGCGAAAAGAACCCCGGCGAGGGGAGUGAAAAAGAACCUGAAACCGU